GUAGCAUGAAUCAGUGGUGUGUUCCUUUUUAUUGCUGAAUGAUAUGUCAGUCAGAUGUCUAUUUAAAAGACUAUGCUUGUUAUAGAAUGAAAGAUGGGGUAGGAGGAGGAAGAAAGUAGAGGCCAAGAGACCAGUUAGGAGACACUGGUUGUUGUUCAGGCUGAGACAAAGAAGGUGUGAGUUGGUAGAGAGGCUGUGGGCAUGAAGAGAGAGGACUGGGUGGGAGGUUACAGGUCUGGAAGCAAUUAGUGUACAAUAGGACCACUGGGGAGGCUUGACCAGAGGCCAGGAGCUACAUAGGGAAAGUGAGAAGCCCAGGAGAGGUCUGAAUUCCCACAGGGCUAAGAAACAGGACCUGAGCUGAUUGCACCUCUGGGCAGAUUCAUACCUGGCUGAAGGAACAGAGUGCUCUAAGGACCCACCGGCCCUGCGGACCCUCCUGGUGGUCUGCUGCCAGGCUGGCUCCUUGGGCUAUUGGGAUGAAGAUAAUGAGAACAUGUUUGUCAACUGUGCAGGUGACACAAAUCUGGAAAGAACAGCAAAUUUGGGAUAACAAUGUUCAAAAACAUCUUGGCGGGCUCCAGUGAUGGGCUGUGGCAAAAUCUGGGCAGCUCCACAGGGGUGAGACCUAGUGGAUUAUGAGUCUUCUGGUUACCUGUCUGUCUUCCUAGGAUGCUGUGAGCUUUGUGAGAAGAAGAACAGUGUCUGCAGGACACAAGGAGUGUCAUCUGAAAAGGACCCCAACAACUUGCUCUGGGUCUCAGCUCUGGGGGUUUCCCCAAUAAAACCUGAUCCCUAACCCAUACUGUAUGAUGUGCAGAAAUUUAUCCCAAGCCCUGGUAACUCAACAGGUGGUCAUCACAAUAGUGACAUCUUCUUCUUCGUAUCCAUUUAUCAAACAACUGUCAUGCCAGCCCAUGGACAACAGAAGGCACAGACCCCUUGGAUGAUGGGCACCUUCACUAAACAGAGUCAGCUCAGAUUUCCAAAUACAAGUAUUAAGCAGGGGCCCCAUUACUGCACUCUGUUUACGGUGUCCUCAUUCUUGGAAACUGGAAAUUCUGAUAACAUUUACUGCACUGUCUAAUGAUAUAACUAGCAUAUGCUCUCUGAGGCAGAUCUGGAAAAUAUAAGCAAGAUUAACUUUUUGAUUAAUCUCUCUCUCAAUACAGAAUACAUGCUCAGCAUAUUCAUUCAUUCAUCCAUACACAUAGGUACACAGACACACACACACACACACACACCACAGAUUCUUUCUACAUAUUUGGGAUCAACAGUUUGGCUUUUAGUUUCAAAUUAAAAACAUUUUUCUGUCCUUAAGACUCUUUGAAAACAGUCUGUGUACUCAGGGCUUCACACCCCACCCUAUGCAGGUUCCAUGACUGAUGUGCCCAUUCCCCUCUCAUUGCCGUGUAGGUGGUUUUGGAUUUGAGGACUGGCUUUGGUAAGCCUAAGUCUGCAACCAGCACAUCGGCUGUGUCUCUCACGUGAGCCCAUGAGUCCUUCCCCCUUUAAGCAACCUUCUCUCAGAACCUGCAAUCCUCCCUCUUCUGGUCCCCUUGCUCCUGGGUCUGUGUGUAACUUCCCUCUGUUCCUCACCUCAAGGGCAAGUUAUGCCCUAGCCCCCUGCUUCCCCCCGGCCAGCUAGCUUCUGUGACUUCACAUCUUCACAGUCCUGUGAGACCACAAAAAAGAUCCUUCCUGGCUCUCUCCUGCCAUCUCCUGCCCACUCACAUCUCUAGCUCCUGGCUGAAGCAGUACAGUGCUCGAAUGAAUUAGAAAAGCAGGACAAACCUAAAUCCAUGUGAAAACAUGCAAUAGGUUUCAUUGUAAAGUCCCAUGGUUGCUUUGUUCUCAGCUAUCUGCAUAUGACAUUAUGACAAGCCUGAUUUAGCAUCUGGAAAGAGACCUAGAGGCAUAAUUGGUUAAUAAGCUAAAGAAGAAUCAAUAGUGGAAUGUGGCUGUCAAAAGAGAAAGUUAGGCUGGGCGCGGUGGCUCACACCUGUAAUCACAGCACUUUGGAAGGCGGGUGGAUCUCGAGGUCAAGAGAUCGAGACC
rnacentral:lncRNA from 1 species